rnacentral:rRNA from 1 species
UGGAUUAGUGCCGAACGGGUGAGUAACACGUGAGUAACCUGCCCUUAACUCUGGGAUAACCCUGGGAAACUGGGUCUAAUACCGGAUAUGACUCCUCAUCGCAUGGUGGGGGGUGGAAAGCAUUAUUGUGGAUUUGGAUGGACUCACGCCCUAUCAGCUUGUUGGUGAGGUAAUGGCUCACCAAGCCGACGACGGGUAGCCGACCUGAGAGGGUGACCGGCCACACUGGGACUGAGAUACGACCCAGACUCCUACGGGAGGCAGCAGUGGGGAAUAUUUCACAAUGGGCGAAAGCCUGAUCCAGCGACGCCGCGUGAGGGAUGUCGUCCUUCGGGUUGUAAACCUCUUUCAGUACAGAAGUAGCGAAAGUGACGGUACCUGCAGAAGAAG